UGGGGAAUAUUGCACAAUGGGGGAAACCCUGAUGCAGCGACGCCGCGUGAGCGAAGAAGGUUUUCGAAUCGUAAAGCUCUGUCCUAUGAGAAGAUAAUGACGGUAUCAUAGGAGGAAGCCCCGGCUAAAUACGUGCCAGCAGCCGCGGUAAUACGUAGGGGGCUAGCGUUAUCCGGAUUUACUGGGCGUAAAGGGUGCGUAGGUGGUCCUUCAAGUCGGUGGUUAAAGGCUACGGCUCAACCGUAGUAAGCCGCCGAAACUGGAGGACUUGAGUGCAGGAGAGGAAAGUGGAAUUCCCAGUGUAGCGGUGAAAUGCGUAGAUAUUGGGAGGAACACCAGUAGCGAAGGCGGCUUUCUGGACUGCAACUGACACUGAGGCACGAAAGCGUGGGUAGCAAACAGG
rnacentral:rRNA from 1 species